UAACCGGGUGGCGACCGGCGCACGGGUGAGUAACACGUAUCCAACCUGCCGAUGACUCGGGGAUAGCCUUUCGAAAGAAAGAUUAAUACCCGAUGGCAUAGUUCUUCCGCAUGGUAGAACUAUUAAAGAAUUUCGGUCAUCGAUGGGGAUGCGUUCCAUUAGGUUGUUGGCGGGGUAACGGCCCACCAAGCCUUCGAUGGAUAGGGGUUCUGAGAGGAAGGUCCCCCACAUUGGAACUGAGACACGGUCCAA
rnacentral:rRNA from 1 species